AUUGAACGCUGGCGGCGUGCUUAACACAUGCAAGUCGAUCGGCAACGCGGGGGCAACCCUGGCGACGAGAGGCGGACGGGUGAGGAACGCUUGGGAAUCUGCCCUUCAGCGGGGGACAACCCGGGGAAACCCGGGCUAAUACCGCAUACGCGCCACGGAGGAAAGCCGGGGACCGCAAGGCCUGGCACUGAAGGAUUAGCCCAAGUCGGAUUAGCUAGUUGGCGGGGUAACGGCCCACCCAGGCGACGAUCCGUAGCUGGUCUGAGAGGACGAUCAGCCACACUGGGACUGAGACACGGCCCAGACUCCUACGGGAGGCAGCAGUGGGGAAUAUUGGACAAUGGGGGAAACCCUGAUCCAGCGACGCCGCGUGGGUGAAGAAGGCCUGCGGGUUGUAAAGCCCUUUCGGUAGGGACGAAAGCUCUCGACCUAACACGUCGGGAGGAUGACUUAACCUACAAAAGAAGCACCGGCUAACUCUGUGCCAGCCGCCGCGGUAACAC
rnacentral:rRNA from 1 species